rnacentral:rRNA from 1 species
UACGUAGGGGGCAAGCGUUGUUCGGAAUUAUUGGGCGUAAAGAGCUCGUAGGCGGUUUGUCGCGUCUGCCGUGAAAGUCCGGGGCUCAACUCCGGAUCUGCGGUGGGUACGGGCAGACUAGAGUGAUGUAGGGGAGACUGGAAUUCCUGGUGUAGCGGUGAAAUGCGCAGAUAUCAGGAGGAACACCGAUGGCGAAGGCAGGUCUCUGGGCCGAUACUGACGCUGAGGAGCGAAAGCGUGGGGAGCAAACAGG